AUACACUGUUAUUAACUAUAUAGUUACUCUACCCUGCUAUUAAACAUUGGAACUUAUUCUUUCUAUUUAACUAUGUUUGUACACAUUGACCAAGCUCUCUUCAU